GGAAUUUGCGCAAUGGGCGAAAGCCUGACGCAGCAACGCCGCGUGAGGGAUGAAGGCCUUCGGGUUGUAAACCUCUUUUCUCAGGGAAGAUUAUGACGGUACCUGAGGAAUAAGCCCCGGCUACCUACGUGCCAGCAGCCGCGGUAAUACGUAGGUUGCAAGCGUUGUCCGGAUUUACUGGGCGUAAAGAGCGCGCAGGCGGUCGGUCAAGUCGAGUGUGAAAGCCCCCGGCUCAACUGGGGAGGGUCAUUCGAUACUGAUCGACUCGAAGGCAGGAGAGGGAAGUGGAAUUCCCGGUGUAGUGGUGAAAUGCGUAGAUAUCGGGAGGAACACCAGUGGCGAAGGCGACUUCCUGGCCUGUUCUUGACGCUGAGGCGCGAAAGCUAGGGGAGCAAAC
rnacentral:rRNA from 1 species